UACAGAGGUCUCGAGCGUUAGGCGGAAUCACUGGGCUUAAAGCGUGUGUAGGCGGAUCGUUAAGUACCUUGUGAGAUCCCACGGCUUAACCGUGGAACUGCUUGGUAUACUGGCGGUCUUGAGCCAGCUAGGGGCUACCGGAACAAAUGGUGGAGCGGUGAAAUGCGUAGAUAUCGGAAGGAACGCCGGUGGCGAAAGCGACGUGCUGGACCUCUUCUGACGCUGAGGCGCGAAAGCUAGGGGAGCAAACGGG
rnacentral:rRNA from 1 species